ACGUGGAAGAGAUGAGGUUCUAAAGGCGCUGAGAUGGAGCUGGCUCCCCAGAGGCGCCCACACUGCCAGCGAAGGCCGCCAUCGGAGGGUGUUUAAAAAGUGGGUGUGCCUUCUCCACAUUGCCUAGCUGGAAGCAGAGGACUUGGAGGCCCUAAGUGAAUGGUGAAGCCACAAGAUAAAAGAAACCUGGGCCCCUACUUCACCUUGAGAAAUAAAGUCACUGUCUGACCAGGACAUUGGACUGCUGCAUCAGUGAAUAAUAAACUUAACUGAUUGUGUUAAGCCCCUGCAA